GAAACGCGAUAGUUAAUGUGAAUUGCAGAAUUCAGUGAAUCAUCGAGUCUUUGAACGCACAUUGCGCCCAUAGGUAUUCCUUUGGGCAUGUCUGUUCGAGCGUCAUUUGUACCCUCAAGCUCUGCUUGGUGUUGGGUGUUUGUCCCCGUCUCCGCGCGUGGACUCGCCCCAAAGUGAUUGGCAGCCGGCGUACUGGUCCCGGAGCGCAGCACAUGUCGCGCAAACGAGUGCCUUGGUACGGCGGCGUCCAUAAGCCCCUCUCUCACGCUCUUGACCUCGGAUCAGGUAGGGAUACCCGCUGAACUUAAGC
rnacentral:misc_RNA from 1 species